rnacentral:rRNA from 1 species
CCUACGAGGGGCAGCAGUGAGGAAUAUUGGUCAAUGGACGAGAGUCUGAACCAGCCAAGUAGCGUGAAGGAUGACUGCCCUAUGGGUUGUAAACUUCUUUUAUAUGGGAAUAAAAUGUUCCACGUGUGGGAUUUUGUAUGUACCAUAUGAAUAAGGAUCGGCUAACUCCGUUCCAGCAUCCGCGGUAAUACGGAGGGUCCGAGCGUUAACCGGAUUUGUUGGGUUGACAGGGAGCGUAGGUGGAUUGUUAAGUCAGUUGUGAAAGUUUGCGGCUCAACCGGAAAAUUGCAGUUGAAACUGGCAGUCUUGAGUACAGUAGAGGUGGGCGGAAGUCGUGGUGUAGCGGUGAAAUGCUUAGAUAUCACGAAGAACUCCGAUUGCGAAGGCAGCUCACUGGACUGCAACUGACACUGAGGCUCGAAAGUGUGGGUAUCAAACAGGAUUAGAUACCCCGGUAGUC